AUUUAUAUAGUUUAAGUAAAACCUUACACUUUCAUUGUAAUAAUAAAAUUUUUAUUUUUAUAAAUA
rnacentral:tRNA from 1 species